UACGAAGGGGGCUAGCGUUGUUCGGAAUUACUGGGCGUAAAGCGCACGUAGGCGGACUUGUAAGUCAGGGGUGAAAUCCCGGGGCUCAACCCCGGAACUGCCUUUGAUACUGCAAGUCUAGAGGUCGAGAGAGGUGAGUGGAAUUCCGAGUGUAGAGGUGAAAUUCGUAGAUAUUCGGAGGAACACCAGUGGCGAAGGCGGCUCACUGGCUCGAUACUGACGCUGAGGUGCGAAAGCGUGGGGGGCAAACAGG
rnacentral:rRNA from 1 species